GGUUAAGCGACUAAGCGUACACGGUGGAUGCCCUGGCAGUCAGAGGCGAUGAAGGACGUGCUAAUCUGCGAAAAGCGUCGGUAAGGUGAUAUGAACCGUUACAGCCG
rnacentral:rRNA from 4 species